AGGUCCCGCUGCGUACCCUACCGGGGACCUGGGGAUCUGAGGCUGAGUGGGGCUCCCUUCUCUUACUUUCCGAGAGUCCCCGCACUCACCGCGGUCCUUGGCUUCUGACUUUUUUCGAGGAAGUUUCUCACGACCCCGCAGGCGGGAGAAGGUCUUCCUGAGCAGCGGCUCGGCCAUGCUUGGGCCGCGGCCGGCCGAGUGCGCGCCCCGGGGCUGCGGCCGCCCGCCCCGCCCGCCUACCCCCCCCCCCCCACCGGCCCGCUCCAGCAGGAAGCGCAUUCCGGGAAUGCUUGGCCUUAACUUUUUUUUUUUUUUUUUCUUUUCCUUUCCCGCGGCCCGAGCAGGCGAUGCUGGGAGAUGUAGUCGCCUGGGGCCGGGAGGGGACAUGAUGGGGUGCUGGGCUGAUCUAACUCUUCAACUAUGAAUGUCAUGGCAUAGGCUGGGCCCCCCAUAACCAUCCUCCUUGUGUGAUGGCAUGCAGCACAUUCUGUCGGCUCCCCCAAACCGCAUCCAAGGCACACAUCAGCUCAUGUCUUUCCUCCUGUCCGUCCAUCCAUCCCCACAUCACCCAGUACCUCGACCACGAUCUUUCCUUGGGAACCCCAAAUGCCCCCAACUCAAGUUACUAUUGCUGCUUAUUGACCCUCAAGCUUAGUGGUUUCAGACAGCCGGGAUGCUCACUGUCAGGAACAUGGACGCGAUAUAGACGAUGCAGUCUGCUGAUCUCUACUCAGUCGAGAACACAGCAAGGAUAGGUGUAUCUCGAAAGUAAGUGGUGAAAUCGGAGGUUGUAUUAUUAUUUUUUAUUUAGUACUGAAAUACCGGAGGCUGGACAACUUUCUAAAGUAGACUGAGUUCAUGUUGAUGUCCUAGCAGCACUCCUUAAGACAGGAAGAGAAAAAAAAAUCUUAGGUUUGGGCUGAUUCUUACAACUUAAGUUUACUUUUUAUUAUGAAUAUGUGUGUGCUUCUGUGUGUAUGGCACAUGGAUCGGGGUGUGUGUGUGGGUGCCCAGAAACGGCUGGGAAACAAGCACUUUUAACUGCUAAUUUGGUCUCACAGAACCGUCUUCUGAAGGCCAACUCCCGCCGAUAGGCUCCUUUCACCAUGACUAGCCUAUUAACAGGGCCACAUAGAGGACUAAACUUUCAACACAUGAACUGUGGCACAACUAAAGUUCAGGUCUCUUAACUGGUGCCAGACACAGGCUGGACCUCCACUGGGAUAGUGGACUAAGCACCUAUGUGGACACCUCUGUGUCCUUGGCUUCCUCCCAGUUCAGUAGUUUUGUGGUAAUUGGUGGGUAUGCAGGCGUCUAAAAGUUAAGAGUGCAGAUGAGUAGAAGGAAGACCUGCCCAGCUUUGCUUAUCCAGGCACAUGUGGGAGGAGAAACUGUGGUGCUGCAAUAGUUUGAAAAGAUCUAGUACAUUCUAAGAGACUGGAACUUUUGCUAGACCUUACAGCCAGAGAUAAUACCACACCUGGAAGUCACCCACGACUGCUAGCCUCCUAUGUACUCAUUGAGUAAGAGAACAAUGUAGCAAUCAACUCUACUUGUUUUGGAUUUCCCAUGCAAUCAACUUCUUACAACCUAUAAUGUAAUGCAUACCUGGACUCUUAGAUUAGGUACUCUUCCCGGCCCCUCACUCAGAUAAUGCACACGAAAGCAACACUUGCAGAAGCAGAAGCAACUUUCUACC
rnacentral:lncRNA from 1 species